GAUGAACGCUGGCGGCGUGCCUAAUGCAUGCAAGUCGAGCGAACAGACGAGGAGCUUGCUCCUCUGACGUUAGCGGCGGACGGGUGAGUAACACGUGGAUAACCUACCUAUAAGACUGGGAUAACUUCGUGAAACCGGAGCUAAUACCGGAUAAUAUAUUGAACCGCAUGGUUCAAUAGUGAAAGACGGUUUUGCUGUCACUUAUAGAUGGAUCCGCGCCGCAUUAGCUAGUUGGUAAGGUAACGGCUUACCAAGGCGACGAUGCGUAGCCGACCUGAGAGGGUGAUCGGCCACACUGGAACUGAGACACGGUCCAGACUCCUACGGGAGGCAGCAGUAGGGAAUCUUCCGCAAUGGGCGAAAGCCUGACGGAGCAACGCCGCGUGAGUGAUGAAGGUCUUCGGAUCGUAAAACUCUGUUAUUAGGGAAGAACAAAUGUGUAAGUAACUAUGCACGUCUUGACGGUACCUAAUCAGAAAGCCACGGCUAACUACGUG
rnacentral:rRNA from 1 species